AAAUUGAAGAGUUUGAUCAUGGCUCAGAUUGAACGCUGGCGGCAGGCCUAACACAUGCAAGUCGAACGGUAACAGGAAGCAGCUUGCUGCUUUGCUGACGAGUGGCGGACGGGUGAGUAAUGUCUGGGAAACUGCCUGAUGGAGGGGGAUAACUACUGGAAACGGUGGCUAAUACCGCAUAACGUCGCAAGACCAAAGAGGGGGACCUUCGGGCCUCUUGCCAUCAGAUGUGCCCAGAUGGGAUUAGCUUGUUGGUGAGGUAACGGCUCACCAAGGCGACGAUCCCUAGCUGGUCUGAGAGGAUGACCAGCCACACUGGAACUGAGACACGGUCCAGACUCCUACGGGAGGCAGCAGUGGGGAAUAUUGCACAAUGGGCGCAAGCCUGAUGCAGCCAUGCCGCGUGUAUGAAGAAGGCCUUCGGGUUGUAAAGUACUUUCAGCGGGGAGGAAGGUGUUGUGGUUAAUAACCGCAGCAAUUGACGUUACCCGCAGAAGAAGCACCGGCUAACUCCGUGCCAGCAGCCGCGGUAAUACGGAGGGUGCAAGCGUUAAUCGGAAUUACUGGGCGUAAAGCGCACGCAGGCGGUCUGUCAAGUCGGAUGUGAAAUCCCCGGGCUCAACCUGGGAACUGCAUUCGAAACUGGUAGGCUUGAGUCUUGUAGAGGGGGGUAGAAUUCCAGGUGUAGCGGUGAAAUGCGUAGAGAUCUGGAGGAAUACCGGUGGCGAAGGCGGCCCCCUGGACAAAGACUGACGCUCAGGUGCGAAAGCGUGGGGAGCAAACAGGAUUAGAUACCCUGGUAGUCCACGCCGUAAACGAUGUCUACUUGGAGGUUGUGCCCUUGAGGCGUGGCUUCCGGAGCUAACGCGUUAAGUAGACCGCCUGGGGAGUACGGCCGCAAGGUUAAAACUCAAAUGAAUUGACGGGGGCCCGCACAAGCGGUGGAGCAUGUGGUUUAAUUCGAUGCAACGCGAAGAACCUUACCUGGUCUUGACAUCCACAGAACUUUCCAGAGAUGGAUUGGUGCCUUCGGGAACUGUGAGACAGGUGCUGCAUGGCUGUCGUCAGCUCGUGUUGUGAAAUGUUGGGUUAAGUCCCGCAACGAGCGCAACCCUUAUCCUUUGUUGCCAGCGGUCCGGCCGGGAACUCAAAGGAGACUGCCAGUGAUAAACUGGAGGAAGGUGGGGAUGACGUCAAGUCAUCAUGGCCCUUACGACCAGGGCUACACACGUGCUACAAUGGCGCAUACAAAGAGAAGCGACCUCGCGAGAGCAAGCGGACCUCAUAAAGUGCGUCGUAGUCCGGAUUGGAGUCUGCAACUCGACUCCAUGAAGUCGGAAUCGCUAGUAAUCGUGGAUCAGAAUGCCACGGUGAAUACGUUCCCGGGCCUUGUACACACCGCCCGUCACACCAUGGGAGUGGGUUGCAAAAGAAGUAGGUAGCUUAACCUUCGGGAGGGCGCUUACCACUUUGUGAUUCAUGACUGGGGUGAAGUCGUAACAAGGUAACCGUAGGGGAACCUGCGGUUGGAUCACCUCCUUACCUGAAAGAA
rnacentral:rRNA from 1 species